AAGUCGUAACAAGGUUUCCGUAGGUGAACCUGCGGAAGGAUCAUUCACUGCUUCUCGGCAGCUUAAUGCAGCAAUGUAUUAAGUUGUUGAUCUACAAACAAAACAAACCAUGUGCGAUGUACAACCCCAACCUACCAUAACUCCUUAAGUGGAAGCAUUAAAACUAAGCUGCGUAUGCAGCACAAAUGUAGAAAUACGUAAACAAAAUACAACUCUUUGCAAUGGAUAUCUUGGUUCUC
rnacentral:misc_RNA from 1 species